rnacentral:ncRNA from 1 species
AGGUAGAGGCGCGGCCAACAUCAGUAACGAGAGGAAAUCUCCGGGAAGAGUUUCGCGAAAGGGUUUGCCGCCGAAGCCGGAAAAGGUUCCCGCUUUUUCCGCGCUGGGCCGCAGCAGAAGAUGCUGCGGACUGUCACAAAUAUUUGUGGAGCGCUAUCGUG